CCUACGGGAGGCAGCAGUGGGGGAUAUUGCACAAUGGGGGAAACCCUGAUGCAGCGACGCCGCGUGGGUGAAGAAGCGCCUUGGCGCGUAAAGCCCUGUCAGCAGGGAAGAAAAUGACGGUACCUGAAGAAGAAGCCCCGGCUAACUACGUGCCAGCAGCCGCGGUAAUACGUAGGGGGCAAUCGUUAUCCGGAUUUACUGGGUGUAAAGGGGGCGCAGACGGCGAUGCAAGCCAGGAGUGAAAGCCCGGUGCCCAACCCCGGGACUGCUCUUGGCACUGCGUGGCUAGAGUGCAGGAGGGGCAG
rnacentral:rRNA from 1 species